GGAUAAAAAUCAAGCCCCUAAUCUACAAAUUAUAAAUUUCCAUAACAGGGGUUUCAAGCUACAAGAUACAAGCUACAAAUAAGGAUUUAAUUUCACGAUUUCAUGAAAAUUAAUUCAUACUUGAAGAUAAGAACAAAUUUUCUACGAGCAAGAGUAUAAUAGGCUUCUUUCUUCCAUAAAUUCACUCACCAAGAAGAAUUAAAAAUGGAUCAAUUACUUCUCCUUCCUUAGAUAGUGUGAUUAAUUUAUUGAACUCGACCUAGUGAGAGAGUGAAACAAAAGAAAAGUUUUCAAUAGUAAUCUAGUGGAUCUUGUAAGAGGAGGGAAGAUAAGGUCUUAAUGUAGAAUUUGAUGCCCAGAACUAUUGCAAAAAAGUUGAUGAAUUCUUCUCUUGGAAUCGACUUUGGUAUUUCUGAGACUAGUAUAUGCGUUAAAUGAAAUCAUUUAAAACUUAUUUAUAUCUUCAUAUUUAGUGGUUUUCUUUACAUGAAAAAAGAAGUGACUUUCUCAUCUCCUUAUCUAUCUGACAUCACCCUCAUUGAAGCUGAAA
rnacentral:lncRNA from 1 species